GGUGAAAUGUCUCCAUACCAGGUGCAAAUGUAAGCAAAUAUACCAGGUGCGGUCUGGCCUCGGUGAAAUGUCUCCAUACCAGGUGCUUACCUAGCCUCCAUACCAAGUUGCUUACCUAGCAAUGUAAGCAAAUAUACCAGUAGGGUAAGAGAAAGAAGCCAAAUGUUGAAAGUAUACCCUCUGACUAAAAAAGACAAGUGAAAUCUCUGCCCAAGUAACCAUUGCUGUGUCACCAAGAAUAUAUCUUAUCCAUUGGGCGAACCCAGCAAAUGAGGCUCCUACUAAUGCAGAAUCUGAGGGUUACCUUACAAAUAAAGAAGUUGUUCCAGUAUCUUGAACUGUGGUCAUCCAGGUCACAAAAAAGCAAUUUAUCUGAUGUACUAAGGCUUGUCCUCAAUAUAUCUUAUCUAUUGGUGGCACAUAUAUGCAUACUAAAUAAUUUAUUCUUUUA